rnacentral:rRNA from 1 species
GAUGAACGCUGGCGGCGUGCCUAAUACAUGCAAGUCGAGCGAACAGACGAGGAGCUUGCUCCUCUGACGUUAGCGGAGGACGGGUGAGUAACACGUGGAUAACCUACCUAUAAGACUGGGAUAACUUCGGGAAACCGGAGAUAAUACCGGAUAAUAUAUUGAACCGCAGGGUUCAAUAGUGAAAGACGGUUUUGCUGUAACUUAUAGAUGGAUCCGCGCCGCAUUAGCUAGUUGGUAAGGUAACGGCUUACCAAGGCAACGAUGCGUAGCCGACCGCAGAGGGUGAUCGGCCACCCUGGAACUUAGCCACGGUCCAGACGCCUACGGGAGGCAGCAGUAGGGAAUCUUCCGCAAUGGGCGGAAGCUUGACGGAGCAACGCCGCGUGAGUGAUGAAGGUCUUCGGAUCGUAAAACUCUGUUAUUAGGGAAGAACAAAUGUGUAAGUAACUAUGCACGUCUUGACGGUACCUAAUCAGAAAGCCACGGCUAACUACGUG